UACGUAGGGACCAAGCGUUGUUCGGAUUACUGGGCGUAAAGGCGCGUAGGCGGCUUAACAAGUCACUUGUGAAUCUCCGGGCUUAACUCGGAACGGCCAAGUGAAACUGUCAAGCUAGAGUGCAGAAGGGGCAAUCGGAAUUCUUGGUGUAGCGGUGAAUGCGUAGAUAUCAAGAGGAACACCUGAGGUGAAGACGGGUUGCUGGGCUGACACGUGACGCUGGAGGCGA
rnacentral:rRNA from 1 species